UUGGUUGAAGUGCUGCUGAUAUUAUAAACGGUUAAAAGAAAGGAAGGCUUCAACCCCUCUCAAAAGAAGGUUUCACGGAGGGCGGUGUCCGGUUGAAAUUUUUGUAAUUUUUUAUUAAUAUGCAGAAGAAGGUUUUGAGAAGCGAAAAUUUCUGAAUUUGUUCGUGGACACGGCUCUCUAAUCCCUAACCUCUAUCGUUUAUCAACCUCGGUGAUUCACUCCAGGAAAAGGGCUUGAGAUUCGAGUUUGUUCUCUCGGGACUCGCUGAUUUACCAGAUCCGAGUUCGCCAAGUCUCAGUUUUGGGUACACUAAACAUUGAAUCUUAAAGUCAGUUUCAGAGUUGAAUUUUCAUUCUUAAAAAUUGGGGUUUUCUUUAACUUCGAA